rnacentral:rRNA from 1 species
UACGGAGGAUCCAAGCGUUAUCCGGAAUUACUGGGCGUAAAGAGUUGCGUAGGUGGCAUAGUAAGUAGGUAGUGAAAGCGUGUGGCUCAACCAUACUCACAUUAUCUAAACUGCUAAGCUUGAGGAUGAGAGAGGUUAUUGGAAUUCCCAGUGUAGGAGUGAAAUCCGUAGAUAUUGGGAGGAACACCGAUGGCGUAGGCAGAUAACUGGCUCAUUCCUGACACUAAGGCACGAAAGCGUGGGGAGCAAACGGG